rnacentral:rRNA from 1 species
UACGUAGGGGGCAAGCGUUGUCCGGAUUUAUUGGGCGUAAAGAGCGUGUAGGCGGCCUUACAGGUCAGCUGUGAAAACUCGAGGCUCAACCUCGAGACGUCGGUUGAAACCGUAUGGCUAGAGUCCGGAAGAGGAGAGUGGAAUUCCCGGUGUAGCGGUGAAAUGCGCAGAUAUCGGGAAGAACACCCGUGGCGAAGGCGGCUCUCUGGGACGGUACUGACGCUGAGACGCGAAAAGCGUGGGGAGCGAACAGGGA